GAGUGGUGAUCUGUGAAAUCUGCACAUAUGGUAGAAAUUCCAACGCAUACGCAGCAGCUCGGACCUGUAGCAAGCUCUCUCCCUUUAAGGCUAUGACCCCACCCUUCCUCCCCUGAGGAUACAUAAGGAACAGGUGGGGAGAUAGCCCCACUUCCUCCGCCCUGUAGAAGCAGAGUCACUGAGGCAUGACAGUCAGCGGGGAGGACGGGUGGGGAUGUGCAGAUUUUACAGAUCACCACUCGAAGAAACACAGUUACAGUUACACAGAUGGGGAAAGACCUUCCGGCCAAGACCUUUCAUAAACUAGUUCACAAAAAAGCCCAACUUACUUCUCCCGUAAUUGCCGUAGCUCACACUUCAAAUCUUCAUCUUCUAUGUCUGACUCAUUAUCACUGCUCAUGUAGGAGGAGUUGAAUGAGUUACUAAGGCUUUGGACUGGAAGACUGAUUUUUGACCCAGGUGGAUGAACA